UCUUUUUCCUUAUUAUCAUUCUUGAUUGCCAAUCAAACAAUCAACAUCAUUGCCAUUAACCGGAUUGAUUCGGUUUCCGUAUUUCGGAACCGUUUCCAUUUUAAUCCGACAUCGAUUCCCCCUAUAUAAACCGAGACCUCGUUUCCUCACAAACUCACACCAACACGGUUCGAACACCACAUACCCUUCACUCUCUGUUAACGACCCGCCGAAAGCCAAGCCCCUCACCGGAGACGUCACCGGAACCUUUGGACCUCGCCGGGAUAACCUGAAGCCGCCGGAGUGACCGAAGCAUUCGCCGGAGAAGACCUUCAGUUGCCGGAGAAGGCGACCUCGCCGGAGAAGACGACCGGGUAAUUCUCUUGUGCAACGACACUUGGAACAAUCCUCAUAAUCUCUUUCCAAGAAAUACGCAACGCACUCCAAGGUUGAAUGAUCAAGAAAACAAGAAUCGAGCUAGGCUGGACAUUAGAAACCCACUUAGCAUUUUGAUUAUUGUUAAAUGUUAUGUUUAUUUAUUUGGAACUAUGUAUCCCAUUUUGAGGUUUAAUGAAAUCAAUUAAUUCAUAUUGUCACAAUAGUGUUAUGUUGUU